rnacentral:rRNA from 1 species
GACGAACCGUGCAAACGUUGUUCGGAAUCACUGGGCUUAAAGCGUGUGUAGGCGGACCGUUAAGUACCUUGUGAAAUCCCACGGCUCAACCGUGGAACGGCUGGGUAUACUGGCGGUCUUGGGCCACUCAGGGGCGAGCGGAACAAGUGGUGGAGCGGUGAAAUGCGUAGAUAUCACUUGGAACGCCGACGGUGAAAACAGCUCGCUGGGAGUGUGCCGACGCUGAGACACGAAAGCCAGGGGAGCGAACGGG